UUAAGUGACGAUAGCCUAGGAGAUACACCUGUUCCCAUGCCGAACACAGAAGUUAAGCCCUAGUACGCCUGAUGUAGUUGGGGUUGCCCCCUGUUAGAUACGGUAGUCGCUUAGC
rnacentral:rRNA from 1 species